GGCUGUUCUCAGGUGACGCACCCCAGAAUUGGGUUCCUUUCUCUCUGGUUCUGUGUGCGUCGCCUAAGAACUGCA
rfam:Myotis davidii contig137568, whole genome shotgun sequence.